AUUGAACGCUGGCGGCAUGCUUUACACAUGCAAGUCGAACGGCAGCCCGGGGGCAACCCUGGUGGCGAGUGGCGAACGGGUGAGUAAUGCAUCGGAACGUGCCCCGUCGUGGGGGACAACACAUCGAAAGAUGUGCUAAUACCGCAUACGACCUGAGGGUGAAAGCGGGGGACCGCAAGGCCUCGCGCGAUGGGAGCGGCCGACGUCUGAUUAGCUAGUUGGUGGGGUAAAGGCCUACCAAGGCGACGCUCAGUAGCUGGUCUGAGAGGACGACCCGCCACACGGGGGCUCGGACACGGCCCAGACUCCUACGGGAGGCAGCAGUGGGGAAUUUUGGACAAUGGGGGCAACCCUGAUCCAGCCAUGCCGCGUGCGGGAAGAAGGCCUUCGGGUUGUAAACCGCUUUUGGCAGGAACGAAACGGUGCGGGCGAAUACCCUGUGCUAAUGACGGUACCUGCAGAAUAAGCACCGGCUAACUACGUGCCAGCCGCCGCGGUAACAC
rnacentral:rRNA from 1 species